GAGUUUGAUCCUGGCUCAGGAUGAACGCUGGCGGCGUGCCUAACACAUGCAAGUCGAACGGGGUAUAUAAGCGGAAGUUUACGGAUGGAAGGUUAUAUACUUAGUGGCGGACGGGUGAGUAACGCGUGGGCAACCUGCCCCGUGCCGGGGGAUACCGCCUGGAAACAGGCGCUAAUACCGCAUAAGCGCAUACAGCCGCAUGGGUGUAUGCGGAAAGCUCCGGCGGCACGGGAUGGGCCCGCGCCCGAUUAGCCAGUUGGCGGGGUAACGGCCCACCAAAGCGACGAUCGGUAGCCGGCCUGAGAGGGCGGACGGCCACAUUGGGACUGAGACACGGCCCAAACUCCUACGGGAGGCAGCAGUGGGGAAUAUUGCACAAUGGGGGAAACCCUGAUGCAGCAACGCCGCGUGGGUGAAGGAGCGUUUCGGCGCGUAAAGCCCUGUCAGCGGGGAAGAAGAAAGACGGUACCCGGCCAAGAAGCCCCGGCUAACUACGUGCCAGCAGCCGCGGUAAUACGUAGGGGGCAAGCGUUAUCCGGAUUUACUGGGUGUAAAGGGAGCGUAGACGGCAUAGCAAGUCUGAAGUGAAAGCCCGUGGCUCAACCGCGGAACUGCUUUGGAAACUGUUAAGCU
rnacentral:rRNA from 1 species